rnacentral:tRNA from 1 species
CAAAAAGUAGUUUAAAGAUUUUAAAAUAUUAAUUUUGGGGAUUAAUGAUAUAAUAAUUUAUUUUUUUGA